UCGUCUUCGAUUCUAAUUGUCUCGCGAUGAAUUCCGAAUUUCGUCCGAACUUUGGGGCCUUAUUUACCUCUUUUGCAGUGGCGGUUUGAACUUUGGGGCUGUUUCUUGACGUACAAGGGUUAAUGGACGGAGCGGAACAUUCCCUUGACUACAGAGAAUCUACCGAAGCAAUCGGGAUGACUUCAGGAGCUAACGAGUUUCAACCCUUCAAUGGAAACCAAAUUGCCAGUCUUCAAUCCCAGCUUCGUCUUCUCCAAGGCAGGGUUAAGGAAUUGGAGGAGGAAAAUUCGAAGCUAUCCUCUCGAUUUGCAAGUUGCCGCUGUUCUGAGAGGAGGAUGAACUUUGACGACGGGAGUAGUUCGAUUGGGAAAAGCAAGGAAUCUAGCACUACUAAGAAGAAAGCAGUAAAAAAAACGGCAGGUUAUAACACAAGGAUCUUGGAUCACUGUUCAAAGAGAUAUAUUGCUCUAAAAGUAAUGUAUUUCGGGCAGAGGUUCUACGGUUUUGCUUCAGAGGCGCAAAUGGAGCCAACAGUUGAAUCUGAAAUCUUCAGAGCGCUUGAGAAAGCCAGGCUUCUUGUUGGUGGUAGGAAGGAGUCUUGUUAUUCAAGAUGUGGGAGAACGGACAAGGGGGUCUCAUCCGUUGGACAAGUAAUUGCUCUCUAUUUGCGGUCAAACCUUAAGGAUCCCCCUAAUGGUGAAAAUAGUUAUCAUAAUGGGGAAGAGCAACAUGAUGGAGAAAUUGAUUAUGUAAGAGUAAUUAAUAGAGCCCUUCCUAAUGACAUACGGGUUUUAGGCUGGUGUACUGUUCCUGUUGGCUUCAGUGCAAGGUUUAGUUGUUUGAGAAGAAAGUAUAAAUACUUUUUCUGGGGAGCAAAUUUGAAUAUCUCGGCUAUGGAGAGGGCGGGUAAGAAGUUUGUAGGGGAACAUGACUUCAGAAACUUCUGCAAAAUGGACGCAGCAAAUGUUCACAAUUAUAGGCGACGCAUCAUGUCAUUUGACAUUUCUCCUUGUGAUGUGAGGAUGGAAGGCAAUCUAUUAUGGGCAUUCAACAUUGAAGGUAGUGCUUUCCUCUGGCAUCAGGUCCGCUGCAUGGUCGCUGUUGUAUUCAUGGUUGGGCAAGGUCUUGAAGAUCCUGAUGUCGUAGAUAUUCUAUUGAAUCCACUAAGAACGCCAAGGAAGCCUCAAUACGUUAUGGCCUCAGAAAAUCCUCUGGUUCUUCAUUCUUGUGAAUUUGAACAUGUCAAAUUUAGGUGUUCAUCAGAUGCUGGAGAAGCUCUUCAGUUGCAUUUAUGGAAUGAAAUCCGAACAUAUGAGCUCCAAGCUGCAAUAUUCAAAGAAGCUCUUCUAAGCUGUUUGCCAAUCACAAAUGGUUUGAAUUAUGGGAGCUCUUCAGACAUCAGAAAGUUAAAGAAGAAAAAUUGCCAUGUUGCCCUAUUGUCAAGGCCAACUGAGCUAUUAUAGAUGUCUUGAGAUGAGCAAAAUGGGGCUCAUGAUGGUUUAUAACUGGAUGCAACAGCAGGGUGUAAGCUUCUUAUGAAGAGCGGCGUGCCAAGCUUGACUCAACAUCAACGAGUUGAUCAAAUACAUCUUUCAUAGGCGCAGUUUUUUUUUGCAGAGUUUGAACACCAAAGAUUAUAAUUGCAGAAGCAGAAAUAAUGAGCAUAUGGUGAUGAAGGGAAGAGGUAUUUAAAGAAAAAGGUUCAGGCCAAUCAGAUCCUAACACCAAACUUGUAGCAUCAUCAUGAAUCCAGGUGCAUGAACUCAGAUCAAAUCAUUUUUCUCACUUGCUCCGUCACCCUUUCCUUCCAAUUAUUUGUCCACACCUUUAUGGUUUUCUUACGUUGACAAUGACUACCGAUGGUUUUGUGCUGUAUGUUAAUUAAUGUUUUGAACUAUGUAAAAUGAGAAAUUUGAAUUAAUAGUGUACUUUUUAAAAUUAAUUAGAAAAAUAUUGUAGUUUGAAAACGAGUAA